UUUUGGACAAUGGGCGCAAGCCUGAUCCAGCCAUUCCGCGUGAGUGAAGAAGGCCUUCGGGUUGUAAAGCUCUUUCGCAAGGGAAGAAAACUUACUUUCUAAUAAAGAGUGAGGUUGACGGUACCUUGAUAAGAAGCACCGGCUAACUACGUGCCAGCAGCCGCGGUAAUACGUAGGGUGCGAGCGUUAAUCGGAAUUACUGGGCGUAAAGCGUGCGCAGGCGGCUUUGUAAGUCAGAUGUGAAAUCCCCGAGCUCAACUUGGGAACUGCGUUUGAAACUACAAGGCUAGAAUAUGUCAGAGGGGGGUAGAAUUCCACGUGUAGCAGUGAAAUGCGUAGAGAUGUGGAGGAAUACCGAUGGCGAAGGCAGCCCCCUGGGAGUAAUAUUGACGCUCAUGCACGAG
rnacentral:rRNA from 1 species